UACAGAGGGUGCAAGCGUUGUUCGGAAUUAUUGGGCGUAAAGGGCGCGUAGGCGGUGCGGUAAGUCUGCAGUGAAAUCUCUGGGCUCAACUCAGAGUCUGCUGUAGAAACUGCCGUGCUUGAGUGUGGGAGAGGUGAGUGGAAUUCCUGGUGUAGCGGUGAAAUGCGCAGAUAUCAGGAGGAACACCAAUGGCGAAGGCAGCACUCUGGGACGUGACUGACGCUGAGACGCGAAAGCGUGGGGAGCAAACAGG
rnacentral:rRNA from 1 species